rnacentral:rRNA from 1 species
UUAAGGCACGCCUGCCCAGUGAACAAUUAAACGGCCGCGGUACCCUAACCGUGCAAAGGUAGCAUAAUCAUUUGUCUACUAAUUAUAGACCUGCAUGAAAGGCAAAAUGAGGGUCUAACUGUCUCUUAUAAUGAAUCAAUUAAACUGAUCUCCUAGUAAAAAAGCUAGAAUCUCCACAUAAGACCAGAAGACCCUGUGAAGCUUAAACUAAACUAUUAAACCAUAUAAUAACCACUUUCGGUUGGGGCGACCUUGGAAAAAAAAAGAACUUCCAAAAACUAUGACUAUCCAUACUACCCAGGCCAACAAGCCAAUAAACGACCCAGCACAGCUGAUCACCGAACCAAGUUACUCCAGGGAUAACAGCGCAAUCCUCUUCAAGAGCCCAUAUCAAAAAGAGGGUUUACGACCUCGAUGUUGGAUCAGGACAUCCUAAUGGUGCAGCCGCUAUUAAGGGUUCGUUUGUUCAACGAUUAACAGUCCUACGUGAUCUGAGUUCGAACCGGAAAGGGUUCGUUUGUUCAACGAUUAACAGUCCUACGUGAUCUGAGUUCACACCGGAGAUCGAGGUCGUAAACCUCUUUUUGAUAUGGG